rnacentral:rRNA from 1 species
GAUCCUGGCUCAGGAUGAACGCUAGCUACAGGCUUAACACAUGCAAGUCGAGGGGCAUCAGGGUGUAGCAAUACACCGCUGGCGACCGGCGCACGGGUGAGUAACACGUAUCCAACCUGCCCUUUACUCGGGGAUAGCCUUUCGAAAGAAAGAUUAAUACCCGAUGGUAUAACAUGACCCCCUGGUUUUGUUAUUAAAGAAUUUCGGUAGAGGAUGGGGAUGCGUUCCAUUAGGCAGUUGGCGGGGUAACGGCCCACC